AAUUUUCCGCAAUGGGCGAAAGCCUGACGGAGCAACGCCGCGUGAGGGAUGAAGGCCUCUGGGCUGUAAACCUCUUUUAUCAAGGAAGAAGAUCUGACGGUACUUGAUGAAUAAGCCACGGCUAAUUCCGUGCCAGCAGCCGCGGUAAUACGGGAGUGGCAAGCGUUAUCCGGAAUUAUUGGGCGUAAAGCGUCCGCAGGCGGCCCUUCAAGUCUGCUGUUAAAAAGUGGAGCUUAACUCCAUCAUGGCAGUGGAAACUGUUGGGCUUGAGUGUGGUAGGGGCAGAGGGAAUUCCCGGUGUAGCGGUGAAAUGCGUAGAUAUCGGGAAGAACACCAGUGGCGAAGGCGCUCUGCUGGGCCAUCACUGACGCUCAUGGACGAAAGCCAGGGGAGCGAAAGGGAUUAGAUACCCCUGUAGUCCUGGCCGUAAACGAUGAACACUAGGUGUCGGGGGAAUCGACCCCCUCGGUGUGCGUAGCCAACGCGUUAAGUGUUCC
rnacentral:rRNA from 1 species